rnacentral:rRNA from 1 species
UACGUAGGGUGCAAGUGUUAAUCGGAAUUACUGGGCGUAAAGCGUGCGCAGGCGGCUUUGUAAGUCAGAUGUGAAAUCCCCGGGCUUAACCUGGGAACUGCGUUUGAAACUACAAGGCUAGAGUGUGGCAGAGGGGGGUGGAAUUCCACGUGUAGCAGUGAAAUGCGUAGAGAUGUGGAGGAACACCGAUGGCGAAGGCAGCCCCCUGGGUUAGCACUGACGCUCAGGCACGAAAGCGUGGGGAGCAAACAGG